rnacentral:rRNA from 1 species
UGGGGAAUAUUGGACAACGGGCGCAAGCCUGAUCCAGCAAUGCCGCGUGUGUGAAGAAGGCCUGCGGGUUGUAAAGCACUUUCAGUGGGGAGGAAGGCCUCGGCGUUAAUAUCGUGGAGGAUUGACGUUACCUACAGAAGAAGCACCGGCUAACUCUGUGCCAGCAGCCGCGGUAAUACAGAGGGUGCAAGCGUUAAUCGGAAUUACUGGGCGUAAAGGGCGCGUAGGUGGUUAAUUAAGUCAGAUGUGAAAUCCCCGGGCUUAACCUGGGAAUUGCAUUUGAAACUGAUUGGCUAGAGUACAGGAGAGGGAAGUGGAAUUUCCGGUGUAGCGGUGAAAUGCGUAGAUAUCGGAAGGAACACCAGUGGCGAAGGCGACUUCCUGGCCCGUUACUGACACUGAGGCGCGAAAGCGUGGGGAGCGAACA